AUGCCAAAGGAAAUUCAUGGUCUCAGAGGUUCCUGUUUGGUCAUACCAUGUUCUUUCAGCUACACAUCAUACCCACCCAAAGACCAACGUAGAGUUGUGGGGUACCAGUGGGUCUCUUAUGGUUAUCCAUUAGUUUACGAUCCUUUGCAUGCAAACAAUGUCAUUGAAAAAUUCAAAGGCAGAACUGAUUUAUAUAGAAAAUCAGGUAAUUGCAGUCUGCUGAUUACCGGACUGGAACAGUCCCACCAUGGAGAGAAAAUUUAUGCAUGGAUUGACCCUGAAAAUGUUGGAUGGCGCACCUACGCAUUUUAUGAUGUCACCUCUACUGUCCUUGUUUAUGCAAGAUCACAGCAGCCCAGCAUCAGUAUGUAUGGAGGUGAGAAAAUGGGUGACGCCAUCACAGUAGAAUGUUCAACUUUCCACACGUGUCCAUACAGCAAACCAACAAUCACUCUGAACGGGAUAGCAGGAUCUGACAAAAUCAAGGAUGAAUCUAUUAAAGAUGGCCUGUUGAAAAUCACUCUGACACGCACAGGUGUCGUAAGGGCAGAAAGCUUGACUAUUACGUGUUCAGUAACACAUUAUGGUGGUAUAAAAGCGACAGCUACAGAGGUCAAAAGGUCAAAAUGUGUUCAUCAUAAAAUAACGAUUGAGCCUGAACUGGCAGAUGUCAUUGAGGGUGUCGCAAAGAGCUUCACUUGUAACGUCUACCAUUCCUGCCAGAACGAGAAUCCAACCAUCACAUGGAACUAAGGGAAUAUGCAGGUCACAAAGGGGAACAAAAAAUAAAUAAAAAAAAUCAGAUCA
ensembl:lncRNA